rnacentral:tRNA from 1 species
AGGUCCAGCAGGGGAUCGAACCCAGGAUCUUUGGUUUACAAACCCAACGCCUUACCCCUUGUCCACUGAACC